rnacentral:lncRNA from 1 species
AUUAAUUGAUGAAUUCAAGGAGAGUGAUAAUUGUACAAAUUCCCUUAGCUUUUGCCAUUUGGAUUUUAAACAGAAAAAAUAAACUUCCCCUAAAUGAGAUUGCGUUACUGAACCUUGUACCCCUCCAGAUAUUAGUCGUAAUCAAAUCGAAACAAGACUACUCUCGAUUCUACAAUAAGACCAAAUAAAUGCAACCAAUUAAUCUGGAUCUGGAGCAACAUAUCUUCUGAAAUAUAGUCUUGGUUGUGAACAUUUUGUUAAAUCUUGACCCUAAAUAGUAUGUUAUAGAAUUUUAACAAUAGAUGGCAGCAAAAAUAAACAUUUUUAUUGUUGAUCUA